rnacentral:rRNA from 1 species
UACGUAGGGGGCAAGCGUUGUCCGGAAUCAUUGGGCGUAAAGCGCGCGUAGGCGGCCCGGUAAGUCCGCUGUGAAAGUCGGGGGCUCAACCCUCGAAUGCCGGUGGAUACUGUCGGGCUAGAGUGCGGAAGAGGCGAGUGGAAUUCCUGGUGUAGCGGUGAAAUGCGCAGAUAUCAGGAGGAACACCAAUUGCGAAGGCAGCUCGCUGGGACGUGACUGACGCUGAGACGCGAAAGCGUGGGGAGCAAACAGG